rnacentral:SRP_RNA from 1 species
UGACUGGAACUAUGCGGUUGCAACGCCCAAAUUUUGUCAGGACCGGAAGGUAGCAGCAAUACGGGAUGCUUGUAGCAGGCUUGGUCUCCGGUCGCCC